rnacentral:lncRNA from 1 species
AUGCAUAAUACGAUGAGGCACUGCUGGUUUAGUUGUCUUAUCCAUCCCAUGACUUGUUUCUUCUCAUUCACAGAAGAGCCUGGCAAGAAGACAACGACAGCUCCUGCUGGUCGCAGAAGUAAUUUACCAGGAAGAGACCUAUUACUUGUAUUCCGUCUUCCUUCAGGGAUCACCAUUUGUUUUAAAUGGAGUAGAGGAACUUUGAAUUUCCUUGAUUGCCAUGUGUUCUGCAAUGCUUGCUGAGGUUUUACAGUUGAGAAGCUCAGUCUACAACAUAAUAAAACCCUAAGUGAGAUAUGGAAAGAAAGAAGCCAACCCUAUGGACAGCAGAACUGACAGGAUUGAACAGCUCUCCAGCACACCAAGGCAUUUUAAGGGAAUUAAAAUAAUAAUAAAAAUAAUAAAAAUUGAAAAAUCUCUCA